GCCUGGGUGGCUCAGUCGGUUGAGCGUCUGACUUCGGCUCAGGUCAUGAUCUCACAGUUUGUGGGUUUGAGCCCCGCAUCAGGCU
rnacentral:tRNA from 1 species